CCAGAGGUGCCGAGGCAGGUCCCUGAGGGUAAAUCUGCUGCACCCACAGGUGUGUGCUCCCAACCCAGAACCUACAGCACCAAACUGACAGCUUCGAAAAAGCCCACUGCAAACAACCGAGAUUAUGCUGAUAUGUGUGAUAAGGUUUGACGCAUUAAGGAUUUUACGCAGCGAGGGCAAAUUGCGCACCGAGGGCAAAUUGCGCACCUGUUGAGCGCGCUGAGAAAAAAAAACCCUGUGGUGCCAAAUCACGCUGGUUUUGUACAACAGCAGACCUGCAACACAUUCCAAAACAAGUUGGGACAGUAAAGCAUUUACCACUUUGUAAUGUUGCCAUUCCUUUUCACCACACUUAAAAGACGUUUUGGCACCGAGGAGACCAAGUGAUUUAGUGUUUCAGCUUUUAUUUUGUCCCGUUCUUCCUGCAAACACGUCUUAAGAUGUGCAACAGUACGGGGUCGUCGUUGUCUCAUUUUUUUGUUUUAAAAUUCUCCACACAUUCUCUACUGGGGACAAAUCAGGACUGCAGUCGGGCUAGUCCAGUACCCGUACCCUCUGCUUCUGCAGCCAUGCCUUUGUAAUGUGUGCAGCAUGUGGUUUUGCAUUGUCUUGUUGAAAAAUGCAUGAACGUCCCUGGAAAAGAUGACCCCAUGAAGGCAGCAUAUGUUGCUCUAAGAUCUCAAUGUACUUUUCUGCAUUAAUGCUGCCAUCACAGAAGUUUUAAAUGACCUUUGCCAAGAGCAUUGACACAGCCCCAUACCAUGACAGACCCUGGCUUUUGGACUUGUUGCUGAUAUCAGUCUGGAUGGUCCUUUUCGUCUUUGGUCCAGACCACACAGCGUCCAUUUUCUCCAAAAAAGACCUGGAAUGCUGAUUCAUCUGACCACAAUACACGUUUCCACUGUGUGAUGAUCCAUCCUAGAUGCCUCAGAGCCCAGAGAAGUCGACGUCGCUUCUGGACAUGGUUAACAUAAGGCUUCUUUUUUUGCACAGUAAAGUUUUAAGUGGUAUUUGUGCAUGUAACUCUGUAUUGUAGAGCUUG